GACGAACGCUGGCGGCGUGCUUAACACAUGCAAGUCGAACGGAAAGGCCUCUUUCGGGGGGUACUCGAGUGGCGAACGGGUGAGUAACACGUGAGUAACCUGCCCUUGACUUUGGGAUAACUUCAGGAAACUGGGGCUAAUACCGGAUAGGAGCUCCUGCUGCAUGGUGGGGGUUGGAAAGUUUCGGCGGUUGGGGAUGGACUCGCGGCUUAUCAGCUUGUUGGUGGGGUAGUGGCUUACCAAGGCUUUGACGGGUAGCCGGCCUGAGAGGGUGACCGGCCACAUUGGGACUGAGAUACGGCCCAGACUCCGACGGGAGGCAGAAGUGGGGAAUAUUGAACAAGGGGUGGAAGCCUGAUGCAGCAACGCCGUGGGCGGGAGGACGGCCUUCGGGUUGGAAACCGAUUUCGCUCAUGACGAAGCUUUGUGUGACGGUAGUGGGUAAAGAAGCACCGGCUAACUACGUG
rnacentral:rRNA from 1 species